rnacentral:rRNA from 1 species
UACGGGGGGAGCAAGCGUUGUUCGGAUUUACUGGGCGUAAAGGGCGCGUAGGCGGCCACCGCAAGUCGACUGUGAAAUCUCCGGGCUUAACCCGGAAAGGUCAGCCGAUACUGCGGGGCUAGAGUGCAGAAGGGGCAACUGGAAUUCUCGGUGUAGCGGUGAAAUGCGUAGAUAUCGAGAGGAAGACCAGUGGCGAAGGCGGGUCUCUGGACAGUUCCUGACGCUGAGGCACGAAGGUCAGGGGAGCAAACGGG